rnacentral:pre_miRNA from 1 species
UGGACAGAUUAUUGUAUUCGACUGUAUUCACGGCAUGAAACAGGGGAUUACACUAUUUUUAAACGGAAAGUACAUCAAUUAACAUAAUAGACUCCU